AUGCUAUGUAACUGCAGGUUGAGGAUCGGUGCCGCUGCACCAAGUCGGCCGCCUUGCCCAAACCGUGUCACUGCAUUUGAGAAGGCUGUUCGAAACUAUGGUGAGAAUCCAGGAGACAAUGUGAUCACACCGACUAUUGGCACGACCUUUGAUUCUGUAGGAGAGGCGUACGACUUUUACAAUCUGUAUUCAUGGGAAAAGGGGUUUGGUAUCAGAUAUGGUAAGAGUCGGCUAAAUGUAGAGAGGAUUAAAUGCAUGCAAGAAAUCGUCUGUGGUUACUCGGGAAAAGCUGGGGUUGAGAAUACAAGAUCUUGCCGCUGUGAAUGCCAAGCUUUAAUAAGGCUCCUACGAGCACAAGAUAAUGGAUGGUAUAUUGCAGAGCACAAGGAUACUCACAACCACUCAUUGUCGCCGAACUUUGGCGAGACACUACAUUGGCCAUCACACAAGCAUAUAGAUGUAUACACAAGAGAUCUUGUGAAGCAGUUGCGGCAGAACAAUGUCAAUUUGUCUAAGGUGUAUAGCAUAAUCGGAGGUUUCUUUGGAUCG
rnacentral:rRNA from 1 species